CACUCUGCGUUUCUGAGCAGCUUAAGUGUUUUUGUUAUAUAAUCAAUAGACGGAGAAUGGAGAGAGGUACAUGGAAAGUCAGACUACGCACUAUAGGAAAAGCGACCAGGACCAUGUCUGUAAGGAAUACGGGGCCCUAGGUUUGAGCCCCACUUACUCCAUCAGCUUGGGCAGGUUCGCACCCUCACCUUCCCCUUCUUUUUAAAAAUUACAUUUAGUUAGUGUGUGUGUGUGUGUGUGUGUGUGUUGGGGUGAUGGCGUGAAUAUGCAUGCCAUGGCCGGAUGUGGAGGUCAAGGUCACUGUGAAUGACUUCUCUCCUUCCCUGUGUGGGUCUGAGGGAUCCAGCUCAGGUAGUUAGGCUUGGAGACAAGCCUGUGUGCCUGCUGAGCAUCUCGCUGGCCUGUGGCUAAGCAUCUUAAGCCGCAGCAUAGGGCUGUGAACAUCUCUGCGGUAGUUAGCAGUAGUCAAUAAACACACAAGUUAGAGAAAACACUGUUUACCAAUGCUUACUGUAGUAGCAGGUGAUUAGUCUGGUUUGAAUAGUGCUACUACUUUAAAAUCAGAAUAAAAAUGCAUUAUCACGUUAUCUUUAAAGAACAGCAUUAUCAAUUCAGCUGGGUAGCGUAGUCGUUGGACCCAAUGUAAUGAAAAGAUCUCUGAAUUUCUGUUCCCCAGGCCUAGAAGGUAUCCCAGUUAGACACGUAAAUUCAGUCCUGGCCAACUGGGCCCCUUGUCGCCUUAUCCUUGCAUCCCUGGCCUUUCCAUCCCUCUCCUGCCCUCUGCAUCUACAGCCACGCAUCUCCUGAUGCGAAUUCCAGCAUCACUCUUCCCUUGAGCUCUCUGCAGCCAGGCAGAAGUGCUGUGUGGUCACUCGGUCCUGUGGACAUGCAGGGCUCUGAGGGGAUUGUCUCACCUCACUUCCCGCCGUAACAACAGUGUUGCAGACCCUUCUGUCUUCUGGCUCUAGUCCUGCUCCCUCCAGGCCAUUUUCUGUACUGGACGAUAGUCUUGUACUAGAACUCGCCCUUUGAAUGCUCUUGUCCACGGGGGAGCAGCUUAGGGUUUUGUGUGUGUAUAUAUGUGUGUGUUUCUCUAUUUCUUUCUGAAACGUCAUUGCACACUCACCCCCACUCCCUUUGGGCCUGAUUUCUAUUCUUUUAGUCUCAGUUUAAAUGCCAUAUCCUUUUGUUGUUUGGUUUUUCAAGACGUUUCUUUAUGUAGUCCCAUGUGUCCUGGAACUCGCUCUGGCCUCAAACUCAGAGAUCCACCUGCUUCUGCCUCCUAAGUGCUGGGAUUAAAGGCGUGCGCCACCACCACCACGAGCUAAAUACCAUCUCCUAAUGGAGCUUUUUUUUCUUGGCCGCCUCAGACUAGUGAAGCCCUUUUGAAGUAAGGUCACUAGCAAAACCUCUUUAUUUUUCUCAUCACUGGCAGCAUUAGCAGUUGACUGAUUGAUUGUCAUUAUUUAUGUAAAUAUAUAACAAUAUGGAACAUUGUCAUUAUACUGUGCUCGGUAUUUACAGAUAGGUCUUCUGAUCCAUACAGAAGCCUGUUAGCGUAAGUCCUCUGUUCAUCCACCUUGUUGAAGGUCUCGUGGCCAGUGAGGAGCAGGAAAUUCAGACUGGGCAAUUGCAGAGCCCGUGGACUGGGAGCCCAUGCACUGCUCUCUACUCCCUCACCCUGUCCCCAGAUUACAUAAUACUUGUUUUCUCUGCAGGAAGAGGACGGAGCCCUUAUCUGUUAUUUGCUGUUGGAUGGCCACACAGCGUGGACCAGUAAACACUAAGUAUUCACUCAGUGAAAUAUUUGUUGGCCGACUUUCAUCUAUUCUCUUUCAUAAAAAUUCGAUAGAAAAACAACCCUUUCGCCUUUAUAACAAGCUUUCCCCACUUCCUCGCAUACAGCAGGGCAGCUGGCAUGCUGUGAGACCCAGAGCUGAGGCUGCUUAUCCCAGCAGUGCCGGCUGCUGGUGGAGCAGAGUGGAGGUUACACAGGCGGGGUUAAUGGUAGAUAGGUAGAGUGGAGGUUACACAGGCAGGGUUAAUGGUAGAUAGGCAGAGUGGAGGUUACACAGGCGGGGUUAAUGGUAGAUAGGCAGAGGUGAGGGACAGAAGGUGUGAAGCCACGGGGACUGCAUGCCAGGCACUGUCUUCGCAGCUCUGCCGUGCUAAUUCUGACAGCCUGCAAGAGAGGAGUGCAGGUGGUCCGCGGGACAACCCCAGUGCCAGUGGACAGCACGAUGGCAGGCAUCGGGCCUUUCGCUCUGGUAUCCUUGGUUGUAUUUAUAAAUUAAUUCAUCUCUAGUCCACCUAGCUCUUAGAACAGUCUCUUGCCCGGGGGGCGUUAAGGCUAGUAUCCUGUGAACAUUCACUUAGCCAAGAAUUUCAGUUAGCCAACCUCAUUAGUCAAGAUUUAGUUCCAGUUGUGGGUUCUGAAUCAAAUCUUUUGGUCUUAUUUCCUUUAAAACAGUGAACCCUCAGCUGUUCUAGUAGAGCAUCUCUCCAUGGCCAGUAGGUCCAUUGUCAUAGCCCUGAAAGCAUUUAUGAUCAAAGACAUAGCCUUUCUGUUGGGGUGGUGGUUGCCAUGUGCUAGUUAGUAUAAGAUGUGGGGGCAGUACCUGUCCAUGUAUAUAGAAAUGAGUGUGACUUUCCAUCUCCAUGGACAAAGGCUCCUUUAAACAGUUAUAAGUUACAGAAAUGUAUCGGUCUGCAACGGAAUUAGACAGCAAAGCCAACAGAUGCAUGGGAGACAUGCCAUGUUGAAAACUUGGAAAUCAGCCUGGUGCAUUGGUUUAGAAAAAACCCACAGCGAUGGAGAAUAUACUCUAUGAGGAGUGGGCUGCUGCCGUCAGUACCGACUUCUAGGCCUUAGCUCAGUGUGCCAGUGAGACUCCACAUGCUUGCCAUGUGGACAUGCAGCCUUAGGUUCUCCACACACAGGCCAGUCCUUCCAUGUUUAGUAUUUGCAAAGCAGAAAGCCUUCUGGAUCUGCCGGUGGUAAAAUUAAAUGAAAUCUGUUCAGGGCUAACCCCCCACCCCCGAUUUUUUUUCUCUUAGAGAUCUUGUUUCUCAUAGCCCUAAGCAAAAUAAGGCAAGUUGGGGCUGAGGAAGAGCGUAGUUGACUCAGUCCUCACUGCAUGAGAACCUAAGUUCAGUCCAGAAUACAUAUGGUUCAGUUCAGAAUACAUCUGUGCGCGCGUGUGCCUGCCUGUGUGUGUGCCUGCCUGUGUGUGCGCCUGUGUUGGAAACAGGCACAUCUCUGGGUUCUGUGGCCGACACCCAAGCCUGGUGACUAGUUGCAGGCCUGUGAGAGACCGUCCAUAAAACAAGGUGUCUGCCUGAGGAAUGAUACCUGAGGUUGACCUCGGGCCUCCACGACACAGAGAGUCACUGUAAGGCUUGUUCUGGUCAUCUCUGUAUUCUGUAUUCAGGUCUCUUCAGUAUUUCCUUUUGUUUAAAGAAUCAAAAAAUUUGAGGAGCUAAGGGAAAAUACUUGUAUUAGACCAGAGGUGAUGAGCUCAUUUAGAACCUGAUGUAAAGCUAGGGAUGGCGGCAUUAUGCCCGUCUUCUCAGGUUUGGGUCAAGGCAGGAGGACUUGUGUUGUGUGUUCAGCUGUCUGUGUGACGAGA